rnacentral:rRNA from 1 species
ACUGAGACACGGCCCAGACUCCUACGGGAGGCAGCAGUGGGGAAUAUUGCACAAUGGAGGAAACUCUGAUGCAGCGAUGCCGCGUGAGGGAAGAAGGUUUUAGGAUUGUAAACCUCUGUCUUCAGGGACGAAAAAAGACGGUACCUGAGGAGGAAGCUCCGGCUAACUACGUGCCAGCAGCCGCGGUAAUACGUAGGGAGCGAGCGUUGUCCGGAAUUACUGGGUGUAAAGGGAGCGUAGGCGGGAUCGCAAGUCAGAUGUGAAAACUAUGGGCUUAACCCAUAAACUGCAUUUGAAACUGUGGUUCUUGAGUGAAGUAGAGGUAAGCGGAAUUCCUAGUGUAGCGGUGAAAUGCGUAGAUAUUAGGAGGAACAUCAGUGGCGAAGGCGGCUUACUGGGCUUUAACUGACGCUGAGGCUCGAAAGCGUGGGGAGCAAACAGGAUUAGAUACCCUGGUAGUCCACGCCGUAAACGAUGAUUACUAGGUGUGGGGGGACUGACCCCUUCCGUGCCGCAGCAAACGCAAUAAGUAAUCCACCUGGGGAGUACGACCGCAAGGUUGAAACUCAAAGGAAUUGACGGGGGCCCGCACAAGCAGUGGAGUAUGUGGUUUAAUUCGAAGCAACGCGAAGAACCUUACCAGGUCUUGACAUCGUAUGCAUAGCUCAGAGAUGAGUGAAAUCUCUUCGGAGACAUAUAGACAGGUGGUGCAUGGUUGUCGUCAGCUCGUGUCGUGAGAUGUUGGGUUAAGUCCCGCAACGAGCGCAACCCUUACUGUUAGUUGCUACGCAAGAGCACUCUAGCAGGACUGCCGUUGACAAAACGGAGGAAGGUGGGGAUGACGUCAAAUCAUCAUGCCCCUUAUGACCUGGGCCUCACACGUACUACAAUGGCUGUCAACAGAGGGAUGCAAAGCCGCGAGGUGGAGCGAACCCCUAAAAGCAGUCUUAGUUCGGAUUGUAGGCUGCAACCCGCCUACAUGAAGUCGGAAUUGCUAGUAAUCGCAGAUCAGCAUGCUGCGGUGAAUACGUUCCCGGGCCUUGUACACACCGCCCGUCACGCCAUGGGAGUCGGUAACACCCGAAGCCUGUAGUCUAACCGCAAGGAGGACGCAGUCGAAGGUGGGAUUGAUGACUGGGGUGAAGUCGUAACAAGGUAGCCGUAUCGGAAGGUGCGGCUG